rnacentral:lncRNA from 1 species
CCCCUCUUUUCUCUAAUCUUCCAUGGUUGUUGUUAUUGUUCUUUUCUUUUUCUUUCUUGAAUUGCUAAAGUUCUAAGAAUGUCUAAGUGGAUUUUAAGCCUCUCUAGCUUUUGAAUUGUAUAUAUUUUCUUCUAGUUUCUAAGUUAUAUAGAAUACAGAUAAAAUUACUAAAAGACUUUUUUCUCUUUAAAAAAAGAGUACUAGUUGGCCGGGCAGUGGUGGCGCACGCCUUUAAUCCCAGCACUUGGGAGGCAGAGGCAGGUGGAUUUCUGAGUUCGAGGCCAGCCUGGUCUACAGAGUGAGUUCCAGGACAGCCAGGGCUACACAGAGAAACCCUGUCUUGAAGGGGGGAAAAAAAGAAAAGAAAAAAAAAAAGAGUGCUAGUGAGAAAGGAUAUUUAAGCUAAAUUUUUUUCUAUACUUGUUCUAGCUUGAACCAUUAGAAACUGAAGUUUUAAUUUUUUUAUUUAUGUAUUUCCUCUUGUUCUCAGCCAAAACAGCAACAAAGCAAGAUCAAAACAACAACAGAUCCUGGGAAGUGAUGCAUAUGUAUUAAAAUAUUAAUUGGGGUGUCUAAAAUUUCAGAAGUACUAAGAUGGAAAGGGAAAAAACGUUUUGCCCUAAUGUUUGAGUUGCUGGCUCUGCUGUUAGGGUUUGCUUAGCUCCACCUCACCUUUCUCCCAUUUCCCAGCAACACCCACCACGGCUGUGUGAGUAAGGCUGUUCAUUGCUGGCCAGAGUGACGCUGAAGAUAACUAGUAGCUAGUAAUGCGCCACAUUCACUAUGUAAUGCUGAGGGCUAGUGAUGUAAAAUGGCUGCUCUAUCUACACUUAGAUUUUGUAAGACUUAGGACGAUUUAAAAAACUUUUUAAAUGAGUUAAUGACAUGCAAUUUUUUUCUGCUCUGUUCUUAAUUAUUAUUUUAUUUGAGAAGUUAUAUUUUAACCUUUAGGUCUUUAUUAGAGCCAUUUAUCAGUUUUACUUGAGCUACCAACUGUUUUGUUAGUAAUGCCAGUUUUCUCCACAAGAAUUUUCAUUUACAAUUUAAAAGAAAAAGUGAAUCAUGUGUGAGAUACCAAGUUCAACCUUCUCAAGAUAAUGUUGGAUAAUUGUAGUAAUCUUGCUUGCUUUCAGUAAAUGGGCUUCAGUAAAUGGGAUGAACUUAAAGAGGAAAGGCCUGAGUGCGAUGGGAGGCUCGAUCUCUCUUUACUGGAUCUGCUCCUCGCUUAAACUUAAGUCCUAGUCCGUCUGUCUGGUUGCCCUCGUUAAAUAUACAAAUCCGUGUCUGAGCAAUCCAGACCGUCAUUAGGAAAAAUACUUGGGGCUAUUUCGAUUUUUUUUUUUUUAAAUCCUUAGAAAUACAUUGUCUUUUGGUUUUCUGGCUUUCCUGUUUUCAGUAGACAUGAAUUUUUGUCCUAGUUACUAAAGACUUGUGGAUAUUUUCUUGUUUGAAUGCUGCUCUUCCGACUCAGAAUCCACAGUCACUCCUUUUUGUGCAUCAAGGAGGAGGAAGGUUCCACCACAUUGCUAACAUUCUUAUAUGUUAGUUGUGCUUGCAUAUUUUGUUUUUAAUUAGGGCAUUGUUAAUCGGUCCUUUAUUUUCUUUCUUUUUGUCUUGUGUUCUUAUUGCUCAUUAUCUAAAAUUGACUGUUUUUACGUGGCGUGGCGUCCUCCCAUCACAUAGUGUGUUUUACUUGUUAAUGUGCUCAGUCGGCCUCCUUUUACCCCCACUCCAGCACUGUUGAACAUGCCUCAACACCCGUGACCCUAUGGACAUGAUAGCCAGAUGCUGAAAGAACCAUCCUCUGAUUGUGUGUUCAUGCUUGCUAGUAAACUACCUGUAUUCCUUUAGGAGCUGCGUAAGCGUCACCUGCCAGCAGGCAGGACAGAUGCUUUGACAUUUUCCAUGGGAUUUAAGCCAAUACCUUAUCAUUAUUUUUACAGUGUCCUUGAGUUGUCUGAUAUAAUUCAGCAUUUGAGUGAUUAGCUUGGCCAAAUGGCCCUUUAACGUAGAAUGGGAGUCUGGCUUUCCUCUCGAAUGACCUACGCCUUCAUUAAAUAUGUUUAAGAACCUUGUGAAUUGAUGUUUGACAUUUGUGAGAAUAACAAGUAGUUGAUGGACGUUCUACUUAGAAAUAUAGCAAUUAGAGUGUAACUAUAAUUUUUUUUUUUAGAAUGGCUGCAAAAUUGACAGUUUAGAAACACUUCAUUUCUUAGUUUUGUGAUUGCCUACAUAUUGUAUCUUAAUUUGGUUUGGGCUAAAUUGAUAGUUCUGAAACAACCACCACCACCAAACC